AUUGAACGCUGGCGGAAUGCUUUACACAUGCAAGUCGAACGGUAGAGGGGGCAACCCCUUGAGAGUGGCGAACGGGUGAGUAAUAUAUCGGAACGUGCCCAGUCGUGGGGAUAACGUAGCGAAAGUUACGCUAAUACCGCAUACGAUCUAAGGAUGAAAGCGGGGAUCGCAAGACCUCGCGCGAUUGGAGCGGCCGAUAUCAGAUUAGGUAGUUGGUGAGGUUAAAGGCUCACCAAGCCAACGAUCUGUAGCUGGUCUGAGAGGACGACCAGCCACACUGGAACUGAGACACGGUCCAGACUCCUACGGAGGCAGCAGUGGGGAAUUUU
rnacentral:rRNA from 1 species